AUGGCAACAAUGGUCAGAGGCGUAAGGAUGCCUGCUGCUGCACGGUCGUCGUCGGCGGGGAGGAACAAGAAGCUCCGGAAGACGUACACGAUCACGAGGCCGCGGGAGAGGUGGACCGACGAGGAGCACGAGCGAUUCCUCCACGCCCUGCACAUAUUCGGCCGUGACUGGAAGAGCAUCGAGGCCUUGGUGGCGACCAAGACGAGCGUGCAGAUCCGCAGCCACGCCCAGAAGCACUUCCUCAAGGCCCAGAAGCUCGGCCUCGGGGCGUGUCUGCCGCCGCCGCUUCACCCUCGCCGCGGCGCGGCCCUCGGCCAGCAGCCGCCGGCCCACCCUGACGCCGACAUGCUGGAGCCGAGCAUGGACUGGGCAUGCGCCGCGCCUGAAUCCCGUUGGCCGGACCUCGACGCACCGGGCGCCGAAGAGUGGCCGUCCGCCGGUGCCCUGCACCUGCAGGACGAAACCGUUGAGCUCCCACUGUCUCCCCACGACCUGCGCUUCGCUCUGGUCUACCGGUUCGUCGGCGACGUCUUCGCCUCCGACGCGGCUGUCCCGGUCGAUGCGCAACUCCACAGGCUUCAACUGCAGGGCGUCGACCCCGUCGUCGUGGACACGAUCUUGCUGGUAUUAAGGAAUCUGGAAGCGAACCUGUGUGCCUAG
rnacentral:rRNA from 1 species